rnacentral:tRNA from 1 species
GCCAUCCUAGCUCAGUCGGUAGAGUGCACGGCUUUUAACCGUGUGGUUUCUGGCUGGUU